CCCUUAGAUGUUCUGGGCCGCACGCGCGCUACACUGAUGCAUUCAACGAGUCUAAAACCUGGUCUGAUAGGGCUGGGUAAUCUUUUGAAAGUGCAUCGUGAUUGGGAUAGAUGAUUGCAAUUCUUCAUCUUCAACGAGGAAUGCCUAGUAAACGCAAGUCAUCAGCUUGCAUUGAUUACGUCCCUGCCCUUUGUACACACCGCCCGUCGCUCCUACCGAUUGAAUGAUCCGAUGAAUACCAUGGAUUGAGAGUUCGAAUAGGUUCGCCUAUUUCAGCUUCCCGAGAAGUGGAGUAAAUCUUAUCAUUUAGAGGAAGGAGAAGUCGUAACA
rnacentral:rRNA from 1 species